GACGAACGCUGGCGGCGUGCUUAACACAUGCAAGUCGAACGGAAAGGCCCUGUUUGCAGGGUACUCGAGUGGCGAACGGGUGAGUAACACGUGGGUGAUCUGCCCUGCACUUCGGGAUAAGCCUGGGAAACUGGGUCUAAUACCGGAUAGGAGCCAUAUUUAGUGUGAUGGUUGGAAAGUUUUUUCGGUGUAGGAUGAGCUCGCGGCCUAUCAGCUUGUUGGUGGGGUAAUGGCCUACCAAGGCGGCGACGGGUAGCCGGCCUGAGAGGGUGGACGGCCACAUUGGGACUGAGAGACGGCCCAGACUCCUACGGGAGGCAGCAGUGGGGAAUAUUGCACAAUGGGCGCAAGCCUGAUGCAGCGACGCCGCGUGGGGGAUGACGGCCUUCGGGUUGUAAACUCCUUUCGCUAGGGACGAAGCUUUUUGUGACGGUACCUAGAUAAGAAGCACCGGCUAACUACGUG
rnacentral:rRNA from 1 species